GGCCCCGAGCGUUGGCCCGCCGCUGCGGGACGCGCUCCCGGGCCUGUGCACUGAGCGCCGGCUGCGGGGCACCGGGCGCUGUCCCAGCCCUGCGGCUCUAUCGCGCUUGUCAUCUGAGUUCUCGGGUGCAGGGGCGGGCCACAGCGCCGCCAUCGCUCAGAGCCCAGGGAAAGAUGAUCCCGCGACCGUCCGGCCAAAAGCAACCACGAGACUCGGGUUCUCGAAUGAACUUGGGUCGAGACCACACGGGAAGAGCGAGUUUCGUUCUCAGGUGCUCCCACGCCUGGCCCUCUUAGUCUCCUCCACUCCCCAACCUGGCAUUUCCGGGCUCAGCUUUCUGGCAUUCCGAUUCUGCGUCCUGGUGGACACCGCCACUGCUGGGCCCUCGGGAGGACCUGCCCUUGAAACAGCUCAGAGAGAAACUUCGUGUUCAAAACAAGGAUGUAGUGAUCGCCGCGGAUUCUUCACUGUGGAUCUGGGAGGAGGGCGUCCCUCGGCUCAGGGUCUUUCAGCCUUUGUGAGUUUAGAUAUCCGGGAGGGCUGAGGAUAAUUGUGGUGUAGCGUCUGCGCCCGGCUCUGGGUUCCAUCUCUUGCACCGUGAAACCAAUCAAAGUAAAAUAUGGAGAAAAAGCCAAAAUGGGAAUAAAAAUCACGGAAAAGCCCCCUGUCCCGAGGUAGCUCUUGCUAGUGAGAACUGCCUUCGAAUCGGUAAACAGUAGUGUUUAUCCCGGAUGACUCCUACUUCCAGAGCAGGCCUGGGGAACUUGCUGACUCAACCACAGAGCCCCUGCAACCCUUGGACCUGAGACACCAUUCAGUCCCCUUUUAGUGGGCUAGGAUCCCUGGGGUCCUGCUCCAAGACAAGUUGGUUGUUGGUAAAACCAGGACUAGAUUCUGCUCAUCUGACCCCAGGGCCAUGACCACAUUCUAGUCUGUAUGUUUGAGCAUCACACAGAGGGAACAACCACCUGUUUGCAAACACCAUGGCCUGAGUCCACUCCUCAGAGUAGAACAUGCCCUGGGAAAUGACAGGAAGACUGGCUGAGCAAACAGGUUUCCUAUGGUAAGGCAGGGGCAUCAAUAAGAGACACCCCCCACCCCCCAGAAAGUUACUGUAAGGAUGAAGUACUUUGGCUUACUCAGAACUAAUCAAGCAUUUUGAUAGAUAGAAUUGAGCAUUGUCAUAGAAAUCUCUCAUUGGAGCCAGGACCCUACUCCUGGAAAGAGGACUUGGCUACUAAGAGGGCCCACUGCUCUUGUAGACAGAUCAGUGCGUUUGCUGCCAGCCCCCACAGUAGUCAGUACACAACUGUGAGGAUCUCCAGCUCCAGGGGAUCCAGCAAAUUCUUCUGGUCUCCCAGGCACCUUCAUAUGCAUGGGUACACACUCAUGUACAUAAGUAAAAGUAGGAUAAAGGUGUUUUAAGUAUGAACUGUGGGGCAGGUACACAUCUGCCUAGGGUGCUACACAUGGCAAAUCUUGUCUGGUUUGUUUUUUCCACCAAUCAAUGAAUUACAAGGCAGAGGAGAAAAAAUUCACAGAAGGCAGAAAAAAAGAAAAGUAACCUGGAAGAAACAGAGCAAGGCACAGAGAGAGCCUUCACAGAGGAGAGACAGAGGGGUCGUUCAGUGACUCUUAAGUCUUAACUCCUUAGGAAGGGCAAGCCUCCCUCCCUCCCCUAAUUUUGGGAUGAUUAACUUAGACAAAGAAAGGAGAACAAAUAGGCCCACAGCUUCAGGUAAACCAGUUCUGGAACCUCCUUGAACACAUCUGACCAGUUGUGUAACAGUUCCCUUCAAGAUUAAAACAUUCUAUGAACAG
rnacentral:lncRNA from 1 species